rnacentral:lncRNA from 1 species
GAGCUUCCUGGCCGUAAGCGAUAAGGCUUUAACUGAGAACCACCUUGUGCUGUAGGCUUUGGCCCUUUUCCUCACAUCUGUGUAGUUAUUUUUGGGUCGCGGAGAAUUGUGGCCCGAGAAGGCUCUGCUCCUUGAGAGUGUGGGGAGAGAAGCUGCAGUCCCGGAAGCGGUUUUAGGGGGCCGCUUCCUUGGCCUAGAGGAGCUCCCCAACCCGAGGGGGCAAGGGAAACGACCCCCAGGAGGCCCCUAAACAGUGGCCGGCGUGGUUUCUCCUCCAGCUUUACAGAGCCUUCUCUUCCCCUCCAGAAACAGCCAACCUCCGGGUUUCUGCCUGCCACGCACGGUUUAUUCUUAUUUCCGCCUGUUUGUGCACUGCGUUAUCUCCACUUCAGCUCUGUUUUCAAAAUAUUUCACAGCAAGUGGGCUCUUGUGAAAGGCAGUGACAGGAGUGACGUUUAUAGUCAUGCUGCUUCAAAAAACCCUACCAUAACUUUUAUUCUGCACCAUGGAAACACACUCGGACAGAUUUGCAUAACGUAACCUUAAGGCUCAGGGAAUCCGAAAGAGUCCCUUAAUAUUUAACAGAAUGAGAUUAUGGUAUUUCUAAAACCCUGAACAAUUCAAAAGCCACCAGUGUGAAGAUAGGAAGGUUAUUUGGAGAUAUCUGUGCCUGCUAAACACAAAUGCAUCGGCCCACAGAAUUGCCUUCUCUGCUGUUAAAAUGCUUG